rnacentral:rRNA from 1 species
AUUGAACGCUGGCGGCAUGCCUUACACAUGCAAGUCGAACGGUAACAGGUCUUCGGAUGCUGACGAGUGGCGAACGGGUGAGUAAUACAUCGGAACGUGCCCGAUCGUGGGGGAUAACGGAGCGAAAGCUUUGCUAAUACCGCAUACGAUCUACGGAUGAAAGCAGGGGGACCGCAAGGCCUUGCGCGGACGGAGCGGCCGAUGGCAGAUUAGGUAGUUGGUGGGAUAAAAGCUUACCAAGCCGACGAUCUGUAGCUGGUCUGAGAGGACGACCAGCCACACUGGGACUGAGACACGGCCCAGACUCCUACGGGAGGCAGCAGUGGGGAAUUUUGGACAAUGGGCGCAAGCCUGAUCCAGCCAUGCCGCGUGCAGGAUGAAGGCCUUCGGGUUGUAAACUGCUUUUGUACGGAACGAAAAGACUCUUUCUAAUAAAGAGGGUCCAUGACGGUACCGUAAGAAUAAGCACCGGCUAACUACGUG